rnacentral:rRNA from 1 species
AUUAAACGCUGGUGGCAUGCCUUACACAUGCAAGUCGAACGGCAGCACGGGGCAACCUGGUGGCGAGUGGCGAACGGGUGAGUAAAGCAUCGGAACGUGCCCUGGAGUGGGGGAUAACGUAGCGAAAGUUACGCUAAUACCGCAUAUUCUGUGAGCAGGAAAGCAGGGGAUCGCAAGACCUUGCGCUCUGGGAGCGGCCGAUGUCGGAUUAGCUAGUUGGUGGGGUAAAGGCCUACCAAGGCGACGAUCCGUAGCGGGUCUGAGAGGAUGAUCCGCCACACUGGGACUGAGACACGGCCCAGACUCCUACGGGAGGCAGCAGUGGGGAAUUUUGGACAAUGGGCGGAAGCCUGAUCCAGCCAUGCCGCGUGAGUGAAGAAGGCCUCGGUUGUAAGACUCUUCGUCCGGACGGAAAUUACGCAUGGUCGAAGUAACCCUCGUGUGGAGUGACGGUACCGGAACGUAAGAAAGACGACCGGACUAACUAACGUAGCCAGCAGCCGCGGUAAAC